rnacentral:rRNA from 1 species
AUACGUAGGGGGCAAGCGUUGUCCGGAUUUAUUGGGCGUAAAGGGCUCGUAGGCGGCUUAACAAGUCGGCCGUGAAAGCCCGGGGCUUAACCCCGGGAGGCCGGUCGAUACUGUUAUGGCUAGGGUCCGGUAGAGGAGAAUGGAAUUCCCGGUGUAGCGGUGAAAUGCGCAGAUAUCGGGAGGAACACCAGUAGCGAAGGCGGUUCUCUGGGCCGGUACCGACGCUGAGGAGCGAAAGCGUGGGGAGCAAACGGGAUUAGAAACCCCAGUAGUCC